CCUACGGGUGGCAGCAGUGGGGAAUAUUGCGCAAUGGGGGCAACCCUGACGCAGCCAUGCCGCGUGAAUGAAGAAGGCCUUCGGGUUGUAAAGUUCUUUCGGUAGCGAGGAAGGCAUUUAGUUUAAUAGACUAGGUGAUUGACGUUAACUACAGAAGAAGCACCGGCUAACUCCGUGCCAGCAGCCGCGGUAAUACGGAGGGUGCGAGCGUUAAUCGGAAUAACUGGGCGUAAAGGGCACGCAGGCGGUUAUUUAAGUGAGGUGUGAAAGCCCCGGGCUUAACCUGGGAAUUGCAUUUCAGACUGGGUAACUAGAGUACUUUAGGGAGGGGUAGAAUUCCACGUGUAGCGGUGAAAUGCGUGGAGAUGUGGAGGAAUACCGAAGGCGAAGGCAGCCCCUUGGGAAUGUACUGACGCUCAUGUGCGAAAGCGUGGGGAGCAAACAGGAUUAGAUACCCCGGUAGUC
rnacentral:rRNA from 1 species